GAGUUUGAUCGUGGCUCAGGAUGAACGCUGGCGGCGUGCUUAACACAUGCAAGUCGAACGAAGCGCCUUAUUUGAUUUUCUUCGGAACUGAAGAUUUGGUGACUGAGUGGCGGACGGGUGAGUAACGCGUGGGUAACCUGCCCUGUACAGGGGGAUAACAAUCAGAAAUGACUGCUAAUACCGCAUAAGACCACAGCACCGCAUGGUGCAGGGGUAAAAACUCCGGUGGUACAGGAUGGACCCGCGUCUGAUUAGCUGGUUGGUGAGGUAACGGCUCACCAAGGCGACGAUCAGUAGCCGGCUUGAGAGAGUGAACGGCCACAUUGGGACUGAGACACGGCCCAAACUCCUACGGGAGGCGAGCAGUGGGGAAUAUUGCACAAUGGGGGAAACCCUGAUGCAGCAACGCCGCGUGAGUGAAGAAGUAUUUCGGUAUGUAAAGCUCUAUCAGCAGGGAAGAAAGUGACGGUACCUGACUAAGAAGCCCCGGCUAACUACGUGCCAGCAGCCG
rnacentral:rRNA from 1 species